GAUGAACGCUGGCGGCGUGCCUAAUACAUGCAAGUCGAGCGAACGGACGAGAAGCUUGCUUCUCUGAUGUUAGCGGCGGACGGGUGAGUAACACGUGGAUACCCUACCUAUAAGACUGGGAUAACUUCGGGACACCGUAGCUAAUACCGGAUAAUAUUUUGAACCGCAUGGUUCAAAAGUGAAAGACGGUCUUGCUGUCACUUAUAGAUGGAUCCGCGCUGCAUUAGCUAGUUGGUAAGGUAACGGCUUACCACGGCAACGAUGCAUAGCCGACCUGAGAGGGGGAUCGGCCACACGGGAACGGAGACACGGUCCAGACUCCUACGGGAGGCAGCAGUAGGGAAUCGGCCGCAAUGGGCGAAAGCCUGACGGAGCAACGCCGCGUGAGUGAUGAAGGUCUUCGGAUCGGAAAACUCUGUUAUUAGGGAAGAACAUAUGUGUAAGUAACUGUGCACAGCUUGACGGUACCUAAUCAGAAAGCCACGGCUAACUACGUG
rnacentral:rRNA from 1 species